GGAGAGGUGCUGGAGUGGCCUAUCAGGCACGCCUGGAGAGCGUGAGUAGCCGCAAGGUUACCGUGGGUUCGAAUCCCACCCUCUCCGCCA
rnacentral:tRNA from 1 species